UACGAAGGGGGCUAGCGUUGCUCGGAAUCACUGGGCGUAAAGCGCAACGUAGGCGGACUCUUAAGUCGGUGGUGAAAUCCUGGAGCUCAACUCCAGAACUGCCUUCGAUACUGAGAGUCUUGAGUCCGGGAGAGGUGAGUGGAACUGCGAGUGUAGAGGUGAAAUUCGUAGAUAUUCGCAAGAACACCAGUGGCGAAGGCGGCUCACUGGCCCGGGUACUGACGCUGAGGUGCGAAAGCGUGGGGAGCAAACAGG
rnacentral:rRNA from 1 species